CUUCUAGGGCAUACAUCCAACAAUCUUUCACUUGCACUAAAGCCAAUCUGCCAUAUACCAAGCCCCAUCUACUCAAGACAGACUUUAGUCUUCAGCUAGCUAAGUGACUUACUAGUGAGUUUACCACAUCUCAUGUAGAUUUUGCUCUCUGCACCUCUAUAUAUUUCUUACUUAAGAUAGUCACGUAUUCUGUUGCUCUCUGUGUUUGGAUAUCUGGUG
rnacentral:lncRNA from 1 species